AAAUAAAAAAUUAAUUUUCUUAUUAAAUUCCUCAAAACAUUAAAUUAACAAUACUUUCAAUGCACCGCCAUAUCAAGCAAAAUACUUUCAACUUUGCAAACCGAAACCGUUGCCAAAAAUCAUUGCCUUCCGGCUCGAGUACAAGAACAAGCUAAAUUCCUUCCUUCAUUCCAACCAAGACGGAAGCGAUGGAAACGAUUUCAACACUCCAUCUUCCAGAGAUGACACAGAGGCAUAGGGUUAGGAUUUAUCAUAGCGAGCGAAACGCACCGAGCGAAAGAUGGAAGAAUACACUCCCAAUCCUUUUCCCCCCUGAGUACGGACAAACCGAUCGGCAAACGUAACGGACGGGCCAAUAAAGCAGGAAAAACAAAAACCUGGAGAACGAAAACGAUGCUCCAUUUCAGUUCGUUUGGGGGUUUGCUUGCUUGGUAGAUGUGCUUGCUACCAUCGUGUGUGUGUCAGUGUGCGCGUGUAUACAUAAGCUACAACGACACCGACAACUACCACGACGACGACGACGAUGAUGAUGAUGACGACGAUGACGACGGCGCGCGUCUUUGGGGACCGGCAGCAUCGAGAAGCUUUCCGCCGGCGAAAUCAGUUUCCAUCUGGACGGUAACGCGUUUGGUUGCGUUUCGGGGUUUUUCCGAUUCGAGUGUGUUUCCCGUCGUGCUGUGUGAAGCCGUACCGUGCCUUCAAAUGGGGUCUGGGAAUGGGUGUUAGGUGGUUCAAACAGGUAGAUACAGUGUGUUGUGCUGUGAAGUAAAAAUUUGUCAAAAGUGUGUGUGUUGCCAAAAUGUAUAAAAAUGUUCAAAUGUUCUUAUUGCUUGAGUUGGAAAUAGUAUUAAGGUAUGCAUUGCGAGUGAUUUAAAGAUGUGCAUGAAUUAUGAAAUUGUUCCCUCAAAGUGAGUGUGCAUUUAACAUAUAUUAAAGGUUACAUAAAUGUUUCAAAAUAGUUCCUACUGCGUCGUCGAAAAAGAAAAAAAAGUGAUUUCAAUCAAUUUUCGCCAUUGUGCGUUGUGGGCACUGUGCAUUAUUUAAUAGCCAUUUACCACGAAAAGUGAUCGUUCGCCCGUUUGUGUGCGUUAAACCCGCGGGGGCAAUGUGCAAGUGGUGCCAACAUUGUGACGCUUUAAAGCGCGCCGAGUGCCGACGGUUCGAUGUACAUCGAUCGUCAACCCGGGGCCUUGCUGACCCCGGUUCCGUGUAGGUUGUGAAGUGAAUUUUUAAUGAUUCGCCCGCGUUUUGAUUCGAGCACCCGCCGCCCCCCUAGCAAAAGUGUGAGUGAGAGAAAAUUUGCGGAAAAAUUGAAAACCUACCCUACUGCCCCGCCGAUUGCUGCACAUGGCGAACGAAAUAAUGCCAGCUACACCGACUGCGGCUGCGAUUGCAGCGGACGACGGUUCCGGUGGGUCACCGUUCGGCGAGGCAAAUGUGACCGGAAUUUCGGUGGAAAACCCUUCGCUGGUGGAGGGGCUGCUGGCGCUGGCAAUGAAUGCGAGCGGCGCGGAACGGUGCCGACUGCAGCAACAGGCGGAGGAGUUGCUGCAGGACGUGGCCUGUCCGUCGUUCUUCGACAUGGUGUCCUGCUGGCCGCGAACACCGCCCGGUACGUUGGCGGUGCUGCCGUGCUUUGCCGAGCUGAAGGGCGUGCAGUAUGAUAGCUCACAAAACGCGACCCGUUUCUGCAACGUCGACGGUACCUGGGACAACUACACCGACUACGAUCGCUGCGAGCAUCUCGAACAGCCGCCACCGCUGCCCAGCUUCGAGCCGGAAAUUGAGCUACCGACGCUGAUCUACUUCGUCGGCUACUCGAUCAGCCUGGCCGCGCUGGUGCUGGCCGUCGCCGUGCUGGUGUAUUUCAAUAACUACUCUGCCCGCAGGGAUCUGCGCUGCUUGCGGAACACGAUACACGUCAACCUGUUCCUCACCUACAUCAUGUCGUCGAGCCUGUGGAUACUGAUCCUUUCGCUGCAGAUUACCGUAAAGCUGGAAGUGGCGGGAUGCAUAUUUCUCGUAACGCUCUUUCACUACUUCAGCACAACCAACUUUUUCUGGAUGCUGGUGGAAGGGCUCUACCUUUACAUGCUGGUUGUGCAGACGUUUUCCGGUGACACGUUACGCUUUCGGAAGUACGCCAUCAUUGGGUGGGGAGGCCCACUGAUCUUCGUUGGAGCUUGGGCCAUCGCAAAGCCUUUCUUUGGCAGUGUCUCGAAUUUGGAACAUCCUAGUAAACUCGAAAUAGAAUGCUCCUGGAUGCGUGAAUCUCACAUCGAUUGGAUCAUCCAGGGCCCGUCCUGUGCCGUGCUGGUUAUCAAUCUCAUCUUCCUGCUGCGCAUCAUGUGGGUGCUGAUCACGAAGCUGCGCUCGGCGAACACGGUCGAAACGCGCCAGUACCGGAAAGCCUCGAAAGCGCUGCUCGUGCUGAUACCGCUGCUGGGCAUAACCUACCUCAUCGUCAUCUACGGCCCGGUCGAGGGUGUCGGCAGCCACAUAUUUGCCAUCACGCGGGCCAUUCUUCUUAGCACGCAGGGGUUCGUCGUGUCCCUCCUCUACUGCUUCCUAAACUCCGAGGUGCGCCAAACACUGCGCCAUCACUUCUAUCGCUGGCGGGACGAACGGAACAUCCUUUCCGGCAAGGUGAACAAUCAUCACCGCAGACCGACAUUCAGCAAGGACAACUCACCCCGCUCGCGGACCGAAAGCACACGUUUAACGACGACCACUUCGGCACCAUUAAUUUGAUCCCCUCCUCGUGUUCAAUUCCUGGUGGAGUAUCUGUUUUCUGUUUUAAUUAGUCCAUUUCUCAGAACAAAGGUAUGGUUUUCGUUUUCCUAUUUAUUCAAUUGUUUUCCCAGUUUUCCCGACCAGAGUCGAUGAAUUUUCCACCCGUCCCAUGAGCGUAAAGCCGUUACGGUAUUGAUGAAAUGUUUGCUGCACUGUUUGCACUAAUCGAAAAAAACAGCAACAGAGCAUGCUGUGAGCGACCUGCUGAGAUGGGAUGAGGAAUUGAAUGAACGAAAACGAUACGCGGUCACUACAGAUAGUAAAGAAAGAGAGAGUGAGAGAGAUAGAAAAAGAGAUAAAUAUAUAGAGAGAGAGAAAAGUAGAAAAGAAAGAGCUUGGCUAGAAAGAGAAGGGAAAGGUAAACUAAUUAAAUCAAGGGAAAUAAAUAAUACCGAUGAACAGAAAAAAAUACACACAGACUCAGUUUCGAUGUAAACAAUUUGCCAUUUCUCUAGAUGUAAACAAAGUGUGUAUGUGAGUGUGAGUUUGUGAGAAUGAGCAAAGGGAGAGAAAGAGCUUGUGGAAAGGUGGUUGGGAGUAAACCAGAUCAACCUUCAUCUACCGAGGUGAUAAAGUUUUUUUUUUGUUAUUUUCACUAGCAAGCGGUUAGCGUUUAUCGAUGUUGAAAGGUGAAAAACAGCUUUGCUCGAAUCCGAGAAUCAGCCAAACGGACGUGAAGUAUGCAUUUAAAACAGAGAUUAAACUAUGUAAGAAAGAGAGGCACGUACAUAUAUUAAACUAUUUAGUACGACUAGGUAUAAAAUUGCAAGAGCAGAGCAGAACAAUGCCAACAACAACUCUAUGUGUCAAACAGCUCUGUGUGUAUGUGUGUGUGUCAGGAAAUGUACUGGUAACAAACAAACAAACAGGCGUUAUAUUGUAAGAGAUGUCUCUAUCUGAAACUGGUUAUUCUCGAGGUCAUGCCAUGAACAGUUUUUGAAUGUAUUUUUGCUGUAAAUAGAAUACCAAAUAUAUGAAAUCUCGAUGUACUAAAAUAAGGCUUUUGUUUAAU